GUACAACUAAUUAAGCUGAUCAUGCUCCUUUCUCUUGGGGGCCUGAUGUGCGGUGGCUGCGAAUAGCAGCCUCCUUGGUAGUAUGCACAGCCUGGAGCUUGUAUGGCUUGGAAACAGACCUUUCCUAGUG